UAAUGUGAAAUGUGAAUGUUGGCCUU
rnacentral:piRNA from 1 species